rnacentral:rRNA from 1 species
UGGGGGAUAUUGCACAAUGGGCGAAAGCCUGAUGCAGCGACGCCGCGUGGGGGAUGAAGGCUUUCGGGUUGUAAACCUCUUUCGCUAUCGAACAAGGCCCGCUUAGGGUGGGUUGAGGGUAGGUGGAGAAGAAGCGCCGGCUAACUACGUGCCAGCAGCCGCGGUAAUACGUAGGGCGCGAGCGUUGUCCGGAAUUAUUGGGCGUAAAGGGCUUGUAGGCGGCUUGGUGCGCCUGAUGUGAAAACGCGGGGCUUAACUUCGCGCGUGCAGUGGGUACGGGCAGGCUUGAGUGUGGUAGGGGUGACUGGAAUUCCAGGUGUAGCGGUGGAAUGCGCAGAUAUCUGGAGGAACACCGAUGGCGAAGGCAGGUCACUGGGCCAUUACUGACGCUGAGGAGCGAAAGCAUGGGUAGCGAACAGG